GAAUAUUGGUCAAUGGACGCAAGUCUGAACCAGCCAUGCCGCGUGGAGGAUGAAGGCCCUCUGGGUUGUAAACUUCUUUUAUGGGGGACGAAAUCACUUAUUCUUAAGUGUCUGACGGUACCCCAGGAAUAAGCACCGGCUAACUCCGUGCCAGCAGCCGCGGUAAUACGGAGGGUGCAAGCGUUAUCCGGAUUCACUGGGUUUAAAGGGUGCGUAGGAGGGUGAGUAAGUCAGUGGUGAAAUCUUCGAGCUUAACUCGGAAACUGCCGUUGAUACUACUUGUCUUGAAUACCGUGGAGGUGAGCGGAAUAUGUCAUGUAGCGGUGAAAUGCUUAGAUAUGACAUAGAACACCAAUUGCGAAGGCAGCUCACUACACGAAUAUUGACUCUGAGGCACGAAAGCGUGGGGAUCAAACAG
rnacentral:rRNA from 1 species